GGAGUGCCAAUGGCAUCUCCGCCUCCCCCACCCAAAGGGUGUACCCUAAAUGGUAAGCCGCAAAGGCAGCCACCCAAUCGGCCGCCCCAUUGGCUUCUCUGAAUACAUGUUUGGCCUCGACGGCCACUCCAACCCCACACAUCCCAAUGUCCCGAAUCAAGGGGUGGUCUGUGCCCACACCCCUCAGCCCCUCCUGGAUCCACCUGAUGACUGUGGCCGAGUCGCCCUCCAAGACAACCGAGCCAGCCCGCAGUACCUGCCUCGCAUAUCGAAGACCCGCCCAAGCAGCUCGUAGCUCUGCCCCGGGGACCGAAAUGCCG
rnacentral:lncRNA from 1 species